UCCUUUAUAGUCCAGUGGUCUAGGAUAUCAGGUUUUCAAUAGCGAAAGGCCCCUGAAGACCCGGGUUCAAAUCCCGGUAAAGGAA